AUGGAGGAGGAUAUUCCCUUCUGUACCUACAGCCUAACUUCACUGGCGGAUCUGCCAAGGCCCAGUGCGACGCCUACAUGGUUCAUUGAUGUCAUUGGUAGGAUAACCAUGGUCUCGGAUAUCAUCCUUAUCCAUCCAUGCAUCAUAGUGGCUUCGAAAACAAGGGCCAGGAGAUCCAGAUUACCAUGUGAUGGUGCUGUUGAAUUUGACGUAGACAUGGUCCAUGCAGUGUGUGAAAAGGAGCCUCUUAUUCCUAUAUUUGUAGGAACCUUACCCAAGACUGUUCAUUCUUUUUUAGAAAAGGAGGAUGACCCCCGGCCUCUGCAUCUGGGAGAUGCAUACGGCCACUUUAUUGAUUAUUCUCGAGGACCUUACAAAGUAUUACAACAAUGUGCCUGA
rnacentral:rRNA from 1 species